GCUGGGUGUGGUGGCGCAUGCCUGUAAUCCCAGCUACUUGGGAGGCUGAGGCAGGAGAAUCACUCGAAUCCGGGAGGCAGAGGUUGCAGUGAGCCAAGAUUGCACCACUGCACUCCAGCCUGGGCAACAGAGUGAGACUCCGCCUCAA
rnacentral:SRP_RNA from 1 species